rnacentral:tRNA from 1 species
GGGCGUUUAGCUCAGUUGGUUAGAGCGCUGUGUUCACACCGCAGAGGUCACAAGUUCGAAUCUUGUAACGCCCA